CCCUUACACUCGCAACACGUUUCGACAUUAUAAUACCUCACCUCAUUCUGUUUCGGGCACCUCUCAACCGCACUCUAUCUUGCAUUCCCGCUCCCGAACACACCUUCUGAAUAAGCGAACAAGAAACAAUACAUCGGAGGUAUACGGAUGCCGCCGGAGAUCGCAAAGACAUCGGAGAACAACCGGAAUGCGGCACGCCUCGGAUAAUCGCCCUUGUUCAUUUUCUUGGAUUU
rnacentral:lncRNA from 1 species